rnacentral:lncRNA from 1 species
UUAUAAUGGAAGAGGAAACAAAGUCGAGAUAAGGUUGGUAAUAUAUAGGAUCGAGAUAAGGUUGGUAAUAUAUAGGAAACAAAGUCGAGACAGGGUUGGUAAUAUAUAGGAACGCCACGUGUCAGUGUUGUAUUGGCUGAUUUCAAUUUUUUUUUCAAAACAAAAACUGAUUUCGAAAAGGGUUGAGACUUGACGAGUUUGCAUAUUUCGAAACUACCCUCCUUUUUUUCAGCACUCUCUCAUUCUCUCUCUCCUCUUACUUUAGGCUUUCACUUUCUCUCAUUAAGUUCUCUCUCUCCAUUUUAGGUUUUCAUUUUCUCUCACCCAGUUCUUUCUCUCCAUUUGGUGAAGGCCUCGUAGUGGUGUCUCUCUCGUUGGGUGUCCAUUUGAUGAUUUCGUUAUCGUUAUUGUCCAAUGGGUUCAUCCAAUGACAUUGGUUCUUCGAACAAGGUAUAUUUUUUUCAUUUUCCGUUAUCGUUUUUUGGGGCUGCGUUUAUGGUUUUUGCCUUUGGUGGUCAUUUUGCUGUUAUUUGCUUUUGUUCAUCCACUAACAUUGGUUCUUCGAACAAGGUAUGAAUUUUUUCCCAUUUCCAUUAUCGUUUUUUGGGGCUGGGUUUUAGGUUUUUGCCUUUGGUUGUCAUUUUGCUGGUAUUUAGUUUUGUGUUCAUCCCGUGACAUUGGUUCUUUAAAAUGGUUUUUUCUUUUUUUUUUUGCAGUUGUUUGUUAGCCAUUCAUUGAAAACCAUGUUUGUUGCUGGUUUGAAUGAAAUUUUGAGUGAGGAGCAUGUUAAGUCCCUAACAAGUGUACUAGAUCGUUAUCAAGUAAUAUAAAAUGGGUAAGUCCAAGUAUCGUUUCCCAAAGGACUCUUAGGCCUUAACUUUCGUGUAACCUAAUUGCAUAAGACUUGAGAAGAAAUUGAUUUUAAGUUUUUAAAUGCAAAGACAAAAGUAAACAUGCAAAUUAGAGCUGUCAAAACGGGUAACCCGGCUCAACCCGA